AAGGAUGUGACAGACAGAAUAUGUGGUUGACUUGAAAUCAAUUAAUGGGGGUUAGAAUCCCUCCUUCCUCG
rnacentral:tRNA from 1 species